AUUAGACGAAUCAUCUGGAAAGAUGAAUCAAAGAAGGUAAUAAUCCUGUAGUCGAAAAUGUUGUCUCUCUUGAGUGGAUCCUGAGUACGACGGAGCACGUGAAAUUCCGUCGGAAUCUGGGAGGACCAUCUCCUAAGGCUAAAUACUCUCUAGUGACCGAUAGUGAACCAGUACCGUGAGGGAAAGGUGAAAAGCACCCCGGAAGGGGAGUGAAAUAGAACCUGAAACCGUGUGCUUACAAGUAGUCAGAGCCCGUUAAUGGGUGAUGGCGUGCCUUUUGUAGAAUGAACCGGCGAGUUACGAUUUGAUGCAAGGUUAAGCAGUAAAUGUGGAGCCGUAGCGAAAGCGAGUCUGAAUAGGGCGUUUAGUAUUUGGUCGUAGACCCGAAACCAGGUGAUCUACCCUUGGUCAGGUUGAAGUUCAGGUAACACUGAAUGGAGGACCGAACCGACUUACGUUGAAAAGUGAGCGGAUGAACUGAGGGUAGCGGAGAAAUUCCAAUCGAACCUGGAGAUAGCUGGUUCUCUCCGAAAUAGCUUUAGGGCUAGCCUCAAGUGAUGAUUAUUGGAGGUAGAGCACUGUUUGGACGAGGGGCCCCUCUCGGGUUACCGAAUUCAGACAAACUCCGAAUGCCAAUUAAUUUAACUUGGGAGUCAGAACAUGGGUGAUAAGGUCCGUGUUCGAAAGGGAAACAGCCCAGACCACCAGCUAAGGUCCCAAAAUAUAUGUUAAGUGGAAAAGGAUGUGGCGUUGCCCAGACAACUAGGAUGUUGGCUUAGAAGCAGCCAUCAUUUAAAGAGUGCGUAAUAGCUCACUAGUCGAGUGACACUGCGCCGAAAAUGUACCGGGGCUAAACAUAUUACCGAAGCUG
rnacentral:rRNA from 1 species